CUCAAUUUGCGUACUUGUGCGUGCUCGUGUGCUCGUGGACUCGUGAAACGUCAUCAGUCGUUGCCCGAGCACUGUUCCAAUUCGAAGCACGCAUCAAGCGAGUACUGUCGUAAAACCCAGAAGUGUUCUUGAUGCGUGCUCGAUCUCGCCGUUUCACCGAGCAUGCAUCGGAGGUGGCUCGUGUGUACUUGCAACCGCUAUAAAUCCCUGGAUGCAUUUCGUACUCGCAGCAGUACGAUGGCGGACAAUAUGGAGAAGACGCACAACUUAUAUGCCUAAAUGAGGCCGUAGCACAGUUAACGGACGAGCAGAGGUGGUGACGUCAUCGAGUCCGCUGCUGUUCCAAUUGCAGGUCCAUGGCUCUCGCUCAGUGAACUGCCUGCUGCUGCUGUGGAUGAGGACGAGCUGAGGGGCACGCCCACUGACUAGCCUCUGCGUGCAAGGAGUAUGACUGGAGCGGCUCGCUGCACAGACACAACGUUAUUUUAAUAAAAGUAUCGAUACUAAAAAAAAUCGAGAAUCGUAUCGUUUUUUGUGUGAGGGUAUGAUACCUCUCCAGUAUCCUCCUCAUACUGUGCAACACUAGUCUGUUAAACGUGAAUACAGUGUGUUACCUGUUAAUGUAGUCUGUUACAUCUUAAUACAGUGUGUAACCUGUGAAUGUGGUCCAUUACAUGUGAUUACCUUUGAAUUAAGUGUGUUACAUGUGAAUACAGUGUGUUACCAGUGCAUGCAGUCUGUAACUUGUUAAUGUGGUGUUCUUUACCUGUGAAUGUAGUGUCUUACCUGUGC
ensembl:lncRNA